AUCCUUCGAAUUUUCCAUUGUUAAGUACAGCAUAUGAUGGUGAAAAGAACAUAUUCAGUGCAGUGCCAUUGCCCACUGGAUCAUUUAAGGUGGAAGUUCCUGAGGAAGAAGGCACGCGGUUCAGUUCGUACAUUUUUACUAUAAAGCUUGCAAAGGAGCUGCAGCUUUGCAAGUUGAAGGAGUACCUAAGUGGUCAGCUGUUGGAUAUCCCUCGUAACAUAUUACAGAGUAUGGACUUGGUGAUGAAAGAGAAUCCAACUAGGCGCAUGAUUGCUUUUGGGCGAA
rnacentral:lncRNA from 1 species